AUAGAAGAGAGUCCACGUUUCCUCAGUAAAUAGAGGUCCUGGAAAGCAGUAAUAAAUCCCAGAACUCAUGGAAGGUGUUUUUUCCUGCCUGUGUUAGUGCCCCUGACAUUACCAAGAAUGUCCUGGAAGUGGUACAGACAGAAUAGUGCUGAGAAGCACAUAACAGAUCCAUGGGAAGAGUGUCAAGAUACAAAGGGAUGUGUUCUUCACUGGAGAGACCACGAGUGUUAACAGAAGUUGCAUAAGGCAGAGAGUCUGACUGAUUACAUCCACUGUUUCUUUCCUGCUUUAAGUUGUCAUGCAAGUAUUUUGUGACAGCGCUUCUGAAAGACAUAAGGAGGGACAAGUCUUAGAAAUCUGCUGCGUGAGCAGUGUGAAGGGGGCCAUAUGGGCGUGCAGGCUGUUUCAUCAAGCACCAGAGAUCUCUGAUGAGCAGGGGAAAGCAGAGGAACUCUGGAGGUCCUUGCAGAAAUAAUUCAGAUCUGUUUGCUGUGCCUGAGUUCAUUCUGGAGCUGGUUUCCCAUGUCUGAAUGAUGCAUGGAUAAGUAAGAAGUAUCUCUCUAGAACCCAGUUUAUGCAUGCAAAAUCUGAGAUAAUGCUGUUCUCCUCCAGAAGGCAACUUGAGAAAAAGAAAACAACCAACCAAACCACAGCCUUAUAAAAAGUUGAUUUUUUUAAAUACCUUGAUUUUCCAUUUCUUCUUUCCCAGAUUUUUGUUGAACACUUUAUCAAAUACACAUGUAUUCAUUUAAAGUUAUCUAUUUGACUGCUAAUUUCUUUGUAAAAAUCUUUGCAAGAAUAAGAAUCAUAUCAUUAUAGGUGCUGAUUGGACUGGAAUAAUAUCUCAAACUCAGUAGUUGUCCUUUUGAUUGAAUGUAUCUUCUGACUCAAGGCUAUGUGUAACUGCAGUUGAAAGAGCAGGAAGGAAACUAGAUUCUACUGAUUGUUUUAAUGUAACUGCUAGAAAUCAAGGGAAAAGCUUUAAUUUUCUUCAGAGAUACAGAAAUCAGAUACAAAGGAUGAAAAGAUACUUUUCAGCUUUAAAUGUGCUUUUUCUGUUCUGAUGCGUCACUUGGCAUAUGUCAAAAUAAUGUAACUGCAGUGGAAUUUAAAAUCAGGGAGCCACUGAGUGGUUUGGUACAGCAGUAAUUGUUUCCUUUUCAAGUUCUUAUGAAUAAGUAUCAUGAGUGACAGCAAUAACUUUUAGCUGAGCUACCAAUUGCCAGAAGGGCUGUAUCAUGACCCUCAUUAGUGACGAGGUUGGGCUGGCGAGGUUCUGUUCAAAAUAAUACAGUGUAAUUGCUGUUUACUCCAGUGGCUGUGCAGGAGAGCAAAUUUGGAAUAAAAUGCUGAAGUUAAAAAGGGGGAUUUUUUGA
rnacentral:lncRNA from 1 species